rfam:Schistosoma mansoni, Puerto Rico, WGS project CABG01000000 data, contig: 0138
AUCCAGUUGACGAGUCCCAGAUGGGACGAAACGCGCGUCCUGAAU